AUUUGGCCCCGCGGCCCCGUUUUCAAAGCGCAGGUUCCGAUUUCCCGAGAGAUGGCAAAGGCCCUGGCAGGAAGUUUACAGGGUUUAACGUAAACAAGUUCUGGGGGAUUCUUUAAUAAUAAUAAUAGAGAAUUCCGCGUGCGCAGGGCGGGAGGGGGGAGUUGGCCUAAUGCCCCUGUGGGCUCGGCCUGCCGCCGCCGCGGGGCCUCUGACACUGCGCGCCAGGCCAGGUUCCUGAGAGCAGACAGCGCGGGCUGGGAGCGCCGGCAAGGGCGGCCCUCGCGCACCUGGCUGCCAGCCCGCAGGGGGCUCGCACGCAGACCUGCCCUUGCCACCUCAGCGCUCGGGUGCGGGCUGGGGGCGGUGGAGCCACGAAAGGUGGUGCCGAGAGCGGAGCGCAGGACAGCGCAGGAGCCCCGGCGCAUCGCGGCGCGCACAGACCCAGGAUUUGUGAAGAGGUGACCCAAAUUUCAAGACAAUGUUGGAUGCAAACGGAUUUGCCAGCAACUGCAUCACUGUCAAAACCAGCUCUGCCCGUGUCUUCCGAAGAUACCAAGUGAAAUACAUGUAGAUGGGAUUUACAUCUGAAAAACCAAGUGAGAAACUGAAGACCAGAGAGGGUGAGUGGUUUACUCAGUUUGGCACAACUGACCCCAACCUAGCCCUCCAUGAGGACUGAGCGCAUGAGAGAUCCUGAGCCACAGCCGCCCAGCCCUGCUCCUCUCGAAUUUCUGACCUACAGGAACUGCAAGAAGUAAUGAAAGACUGCUGUUUAAAGCCACUGCAUUUUGGCAUGAUUUGUUAUGCAGUCGUAGAUAACCAGAAAACAUCGGAUUUACAUUUUAAGGUAAACUUUUUAUUGAAACAUCACAUACACACAGAGACGUCCACCAAUUGGCUCGAUGAGCUUUCUCAAAGGAAACACAUUCUCUGAGCAGUGUGCACAUCCAGACACAUCAUCUCCAUCCUCCAGAAGCCCCCUCCUGUUAUCGCCACUCACAGGUCACCCGUCUCCUGACUUGCAGCCACAGAGAUAGUCCUGCCUAAUUCUGAACGUGGUACAAACGGAAUCAUACAGAAUGGGCUUGGCUUCUUUCACUCUGGGCUGUGUUUAUGAGCAUCACCCAGAUUGCUGCAUGGAAGCCAUCGUUUGUUCAUUUUCACCACCAUAGAGUAUUCUACUGUUGAUGGGACAUAGGCUAUUUAUUCCUUCUACUGUUGAGGGACGCAUAGUUAUUUCCAGCUGGAGACUGGUAUAUGUCUCUUGGCUACCUUCUGCAUGCAUUUCUGUUGGAGGUUGUUUCAGGUAUCUCUUAACGUAUAACAGACCACCCUCAAAUUGAGUCCUUGAAACAAUUACCAUUUUCUUCUUUCUCAGGAUUUGGUGCAUGGGAUGGGCUCAGUUGGGCAGUUCUUCUGUUCCAUGUGAUGGUACUGGGGCUGCAGUCAUUCAGAGGCUCAACUGGGCUGAACGUGCAAGGUUUCUUGCUCACGUGGCCAUCAGUGGUGCUGGCUGCUGUUGGGAGCUCCACUGGACUUCUGUCCAGAGCUCCUCAGCUCACCUCUCUGUAUCCUUGCCCUGUGGCUCAGGCUUCUAACAAUACAGAGGCUGGAUUCCAAGAGGAGGGAAUUAGAAGCGUUCAGCCUUCUUAAGACCAGGAUUCAGAUGUCCCAGACUGUCACUGUAUUGACCGGAGCAUUUACAGGCCAGCCUAGUAAUUUUUCCAUCUUGGGCAGGAAUGGGUGGCAUAUGCUGGGGGUAGGGGUAGCAUUGUUGGGGAUCAUCUUUGGAGCUGUGUGCCAAGGAGUAAAUUGCUGGGCUGCUUUCUACCUGAGGAAGUCCACUAUGCUUGCUUGUGGAGAGUGGAUUGUGUGCUCAGAGUCCACAAGGAUUUAAGAAUCCGAGCCCUGCUGCCCUUGCCUCAGCCUGUGCAUUAGGGCCCGGUGGUGAGAGCACUGAGCCAUUGUGAAUCAAGGCCCCUCCCUCGACCUGCAUACUAACAGGCCAGAAGAGCUUGCUUGAUUUUGGUCCUAGGCUCCUGCCUGUGGGUUGGAUUCCAGGGGCACUCUCUCCUCCACAAACCAGACGGUGGCAGGUACAUCCCCUCAAUGGAAAUUGCCCACACUUCACCCUAAAGACAGAUCCUGCUGUUCAGCAACAAUGUGAGUGGCCCACACAUUUGUCCAGCAUGAAACCGUUUGCAGAUUCCUUUCCAGUACACAGUCCCGUCAGCCGGUCACUUCACGAUGACAGCUCCUCGAAGCACCUUUUGGUUUGCAGUUGUGUAGCUUAGAAGUAGGAGCCUGCACGGCUUCAGGAAUUCACAGAAGGAGCACACUUUGUGCUUGGAGAAGUUAAUUAUAGGAAUAUCCUGCAACCUGCUGCUCUGAGCCUGUGCACCUGGGGUGUUUCCCUGGAGGUCCUGUGUAUGAGGAUACUCAUCAGCAUGGGGUUUGGGAAGCCUAGCAGUGGAGACAACCUAGGUGGUCCUCUCCAGGGGAGUAGGUAAGAGCCCUACAGCAGUGAAAAGCAUUGAAGGAAAAGUGUGUUCAGCAGUGCUCUUAAUCUGAUCAGAGCAGCCUGAACACAUUCUAAACACAGGGCAUUUAGAACUAGGGUAGAGGCACUAGAGCACCAUAGAUACAAACUCAGAUUCUGAAGGUAAAUGCCCAGGUUCAAAUCCAAGCCCCCUCGCCAAGUGACCAUGACUCCCCCGAGUCACCUGACCUCUGUGUUUACAUCCUCAAAGUUAAGUAGUCAGGAAAGGGGGCUUGGGGCUUGCCACAUGGAUGGUUGCCACUCUCCUUUGCAAAGUGUAGUCCCCAAAAACAGGUGGAAGAGGGAAGGGUCCAAUUAGAAGGCCGAGUACCAGCUGCCAUGAAUAUGCCAGAGCUGCUGGCUAGUGAUAAAUAACUGAAACCCAGGGGGACAGCAGAGCUUGGGUGACCAUACAUUCUAGGAAAGAAAACAUGCCUGUUGUCCUGGCUUUUUAUCCAGCUUAGACAAAGAUGGGCAAAGAAAAUAAUUUAGAAAAUGGUAGAGAUGGGCACAGAGAAAGGGCACGGAGGGAGGCACAAACAGAAGGCCAAGUGAUGGUGGAGGCAGACAUUGGAGAAAUGCCUUUACAAGCCGGGGAAUGCCAAGGAUGCUGGCAACCCUGGGAGUGGGAAGAACCUGGAACACACCCUCCGUCAGAGUCUCCAGAAGGAACUGGCCCUUCAUCACCUUUCGGACUUCUGGCCUCCAGAACUGGGCAAGAAAAUGUUUCUGCUGUUGGAGGCCAUCCAGCUGGUGGUCAUUUGUUAUGGUUGCCACAGAAAACGAAUAUAGAUUUAGACAUCUAAUUUGCAUAUAUAGAUAUGCAUGUGUAUUUGUUAAAUAAAAGAUAAAGCAUGACAACUCGA
rnacentral:lncRNA from 1 species